GCCAGACUCCUACGGGAGGCAGCAGUGGGGAAUAUUGCACAAUGGGGGGAACCCUGAUGCAGCGACGCCGCGUGGGCGAGGAAGUAUUUCGGUAUGUAAAGCUCUAUCAGCAGGGAAGAAAAUGACGGUACCUGAGUAAGAAGCCCCGGCUAACUACGUGCCAGCAGCCGCGGUAAUACGUAGGGGGCAAGCGUUAUCCGGAUUUACUGGGUGUAAAGGGAGCGUAGACGGCCAGACAAGUCUGAAGUGAAAAUCCAGCGCUUAACGCUGGAAGUGCUUUGGAAACUGCCGGGCUGGAGUGCAGGAGGGGCAGGCGGAAUUCCUAGUGUAGCGGUGAAAUGCGUAGAUAUUAGGAGGAACACCAGUGGCGAAGGCGGCCUGCUGGACUGCAACUGACGUUGAGGCUCGAAGGCGUGGGGAGCAAACAGGAUUAGAUACCCGUGUAUG
rnacentral:rRNA from 1 species